rnacentral:rRNA from 1 species
CCUACGGGAGGCAGCAGUGGGGAAUAUUGCACAAUGGGGGAAACCCUGAUGCAGCGACGCCGCGUGAGUGAAGAAGUAAUUCGUUAUGUAAAGCUCUAUCAGCAGGGAAGAAAAUGACGGUACCUGAGUAAGAAGCCCCGGCUAACUAAGUGCCAGCAGCCGCGGUAAUACGUAGGGGGCAAGCGUUAUCCGGAUUUACUGGGUGGAAAGGGAGCGUAGACGGCAGUGCAAGUCUGGAGUGAAAGGCGGGGGCUCAACCCCCGGACUGCUCUGGAAACUGUACGGCUGGAGUGCAGGAGAGGUAAGUGGAAUUCCUAGUGUAGCGGUGAAAUGCGUAGAUAUUAGGAGGAACACCAGUGGCGAAGGCGGCUUACUGGACUGUAACUGACGUUGAGGCUCGAAAGCGUGGGGAGCAAACAGGAUUAGAUACCCCUGUAGUC